GGAUGUAAGGGCAAUCUGGCUGUGACAUUUGUCAUCCCAUUGAUCAUCAGGGUUGAUUCGGCUGAUCUGGCUGGCUAGGCAGGUGUCUCCUUCCUUCCUCUCAGUUCCAUGUGCAUGUCUCCCUGAAAGCUGAACACUCAGUUGAAGAGGAGGACCGUUCUUAGGUCAAGAGUAUACAGGUGGCUGUGCUCCCCUGCUAGAACCUCCAAACAAGCUCUCAAGAGUAGAUGAAAUGUUCAACAUCAUUAGCAAUUAGGGAAAUGAACAUAAAACUUCACUGAGAUUUCAACUCACAACUGUCAGAUUG
ensembl:misc_RNA 7SK 7SK RNA